AUGAUAGCUUAAAUGUAAUUUUCAGGUUCGGCGUACCUCUGGAUACUUGUUAGAAGGCAUCUGGUGGGGGAGUACUGUUGCCUUCCGACCUUGCUUAUGAAUAUCACAAAAGCUGGCUGGAUGUCCACAAGCAGUGCUGGAGUAGAUGGACCCUUCGUCUUAUCUAACAGGCCAGAACAGAACUGAACAGCAAACAGCUCAGCCGGCCUGCUUUUAUAGGCAGCCGGCUGUCAACAUUGUAGCAACAACAACCCAGGGUUUCCCACCUAAAGUAACGGACGUGGACCUGAGUGAAAACUAUAUACACGAUACUCCUGUUGGCCAAGCAUGUGAAAGAGGCUUCCUUCCUGGCUGCCUGUGCGCUUCUCCUCUCCAGUGUGGUGGAAUUGCUUUCCUGGCUCAUCACAUCCAUUCUUCAGAUGCUGAAGAUCCUGCUCCAGUACCUGCAAUUUAUUGGUAUCCACCUAUCCAGCCUUGGCUUACUUUCAAGGUCUCCACCCAGCUAGUCACAACUCAGUCCCUCCUUGCUCUGCUUACCACUUCCGACAAGUCCCGUCCUUUUCCAUCUGAUGUCCCUCCUUCCACAGCCUUCAGCCUUGGGUUUAUUUAUUUUGCUGUGUAUGGUUUUGCCCAAUAUGUUUUGGUGCCUGAAGAUGCAAAUCCAGGUGGUUUCUCCCACAACUUACCGUAGGGCACAGCCUACUACGAAGUACUUCUGCACAAGCCCUGCUGGAAUGAACAGGUAUUGUGAAGCACGUUUGAAGUUUCA
ensembl:lncRNA